AAAAGCUCCGGCAGUAUAGGAUGGUCCCGCGUCUGAUUAGCUGGUUGGCGGGGUAACGGCCCACCAAGGCGACGAUCAGUAGCCGGCUUGAGAGAGUGGACGGCCACAUUGGGACUGAGACACGGCCCAAACUCCUACGGGAGGCAGCAGUGGGGAAUAUUGCACAAUGGGGGAAACCCUGAUGCAGCGACGCCGCGUGAGUGAAGAAGUAUUUCGGUAUAUAAAGCUCUAUCAGCAGGGAAGAAAAAAGACGGUACCUGACUAAGAAGCCCCGGCUAACUACGUGCCAGCAGCCGCGGUAAUACGUAGGGGGCAAGCGUUAUCCGGAAUUACUGGGUGUAAAGGGUGCGUAGGUGGCAUGGUAAGUCAGAAGUGAAAGCCCGGGGCUUAACCCCGGGACUGCUUUUGAGACUGUCAUGCUGGAGUACAGGAGAGGUAAGCGGAAUUCCUAGUGUAGCGGUGAAAUGCGUAGAUAUUAGGAGGAACACCAGUGGCGAAGGCGGCUUACUGGACUGUCACUGACACUGAUGCACGAAAGCGUGGGGAGCAAGCAGGAUUAGAUACCCUGGUAGUCCACGCCGUA
rnacentral:rRNA from 1 species